GAGUACCUCUUUUAAUAAAAAUGUUGCGGAAUUUGUUCCCAGUAAAACAUGAUAAAUACAUUAUCAAAGCAUUUCUGAAGACAAGUAUUUUUUAUUAAUUUAAAACAUUUGGGAUGUCAUCGUCAAUACAGAAACAUAAGCAUAAACAUAACUAACAUUUAUUUACACUAGUGAUCUACAUCUCUUUUAAAUCUCUCAGUGUAAAGUAGCUUCGUAUCGACACCUGUGAUACAAAUAAACUGAGUGGGUCAGGUUGGGAAACCUGGUGAGUACAUAGAGUUUUCAACCCACAUUAAUAUAACUAUUAUGUUUAAUCAUCAAAUAGUUAACCCAAUUACCCAUCCUCAUUAUCUUCUUUAAUCUUAAGGAUCUACCCUAAGAAUCAGCUAUUUCUCGUUCAUUUAUAAUUAAAGAUUUUCCUAAGGAAUAGGUACGAAGUCCAUCGUUGUCAAUGACACAGCUGUCAAGCACAACUGCUAGUUCUGUCACUUAGGCGCACCUGCCAAAAUUGUGANNNNNNNNNNNNNNNNNNNNNNNNNNNNNNNNNNNNNNNNNNNNNNNNNNNNNNNNNNNNNNNNNNNNNNNNNNNCUGCUAGUUCUAUCACUUAGGCGCAGCUGCCAUAGUUGUGACAUUCUAUAUGAGGCGCUUCUGCCGGUAUUGUCCUUUAGACGCUACUGUCAAGGUUAUAAUGUUCUCUAUUAGGCGCAACUGCUGAUAUUAUCCUUAGAGCGCAGCUGCUAGGAUGUUUAUCGUAGAUCAACAACAUCUACAGGUUGUGGCGCAGCUGCCAGUGCUCAUCUAUAGGGUACUAGGUCCAUUGCUGCCAAUGUUCACCUAUAGGGCACUAGGUCCAUACCACUAAGAUUCCACUAUUUCAGCUUUCACCCCUCAUCCUUCAUCUACCCAUGUUUCACCCAACAUAUUUUAUAGAUAUAAAAAUAUGUAUACAAUUUAAAACAUGUAUAAAAAUCUCUCACCCAGCAUAGACAACAAGUAUUCACACAAUAUGCACACAUAGCACGUAAUUUAUAUUAAAUACUUCAUAUCUAUGUGUAAGAUGAAAGUAACUAUGCACUGACCUGGGAAGGUGGUGACUCGGCACUCGGACAACACUUCGUUACUCUUAAAACAACUUCCUCGACAAAACCUAGUAUGAAUAUCACUAGGGUUUAGUCUAAUAUUCGUUGAGACUAAUUAAUAGCCUGGCUAUUAUUACUAUUAUAUAAGCAUUAAACAAUACUUAUAUAACCCAUAAUAAUAGCCCAACCACUCCUUAUAAGGUCCUAAUAACAUUACUAUAUCGAAACAUAAGGUAUACUGAAGAUAGGGUAGGCAUAACUCACUUACAGCGGGUUUUCUCGAAAACCGGGCUUCGCUGGAGUAGCGUUUCUGAGCCGAAAGGCUCUUUUCUCGAGGCUUCGGGAGCCUCAGGGCUUCCUUCGGGUGCUAGGGGGUUUACCUAGACUUUAGUGGAGUUUGGGGCUUUAGAGAGAGAAAGAAGGGUUUGAAGGUGUGAGGAAGUGAGGGAACCCGACACCUCUAUUUAUAGGGGUGCUGACUGAUGGACUCGCGGAGUAGGAGGACCUACUCGCCAAGUUGGGGCAUGUGGCAGCCUUCUCGUGGUGCCACGUGUCCAAUUAUGGUGGUGCCAUGUCACCCCCUAUCGCGUAUCAGCCUUCAAACUUAGAAAAAUCAUAACUCUUGCAUAUGAGCUCUGUUGCCAACGUUCUUUUUGUUUUUCAACGCGUUGGUAAAAUCAAGAUCUACAACUUUUGUUUAGACUCUGUCGGCUAAUUCUAGAUUGAUAUCAAAUUUAACAGUAGGAAGUUUUUAGACUGUUAAAUGACCGCGAAGAAUUCGUAACUCCUUCAUACGGACUCCAUUUCCGUCUAUCUUUUUACCGUUGAGUUUCUAUUAAUGAGAUCUUCAACUCUCAUUUAGGUCGCGUAAGCCAAAAACCGCUCGAACUAAAAAUCAAGUUUCGGGCCGUGCACUGCUAAGCCAAAUCUUAGAAAAUUCAUAACUUCCUCAUACGAAGUCAGAUUUGGGCGUUCUUUUUUUGUAUGUUCUCGGUUUAACAUAUACUACAACUUUAAUUUAGAUUGCUAAGGCUAAAAGUCACUCCAUCGUAAAUUUACUGUUUACGCUUCUCGGUGUCGUGUCGGUUUUGCCGUAAAAACUUCGACGGGCCAUAACUUCUUCGUUAUAACUUGGAUUUAGGCAUUCUUUAUUUGUACGGAAACCUUGAGACAUAUUCUACAACUUGGGUAAGACUAUUUAUUAUAAAUAAUCUUUUGCCGAAAAGUCAUUUUCGACACUUAUUGUCUCUAAAUUGACUAGCCCGGGUCUGCGGGCGUUACAAUUAUCUCCACCUUAGGAUGCUUACGUCCCGGAGUCAUCAAUGAAACAGGGCUCAUAUGAUGACUCCAUAUGUUAUCUCUUCAUCCUAGGUAAUAAUCGUAACUUUCUAUGUUUCUUCGAAUGCGUAUCUAACUCCUGGUCUUCUUGACUGCAAGCGGUGCUUGAUCUUGCACACAUUCUCUAUGUCUUGUUACACUUUCAAUCAUGACCUUCAUGUCACAAACUUGCUCUUUAUCAGAGACUCCUUCUUAUUGUUAACAAACUUAAGAUAAGACUCAUCUUUUACUACAAUGGAUCGAUGUGUCAUACUCUAAUGACCUAUCAUCGCAUAUUGCAAACCUUAGACUCAGGUCUCUUAGAGUCAAAUUCCAGAACAGACUAUACCUUCCUUCAUGUUCUAAAUCACAUCUUAAAAAGGUAGCAUUUCUAGCUACAAGCAACUAUCGCGAUACCUCUACCGAUUGAUUUGAUUAUCUUUUAUUUCAAUCUUCCGGCUUAAGUCAGAUGCUACAUAAAACUUGGUUCUCUGAACCACGUAACAUACUUAUCGUAGUCGGAAUCAAUUCGAUAUGACCUCUAGGGUCGGAAUAACAAUCAUCCUCUUAGUCAUUACCGAAAUGAUGGUAACGACAUAUUUCAAUAAAACAGUAUUAAUUACUAGCUUCUUGGUAAACUUGUGACUUUCCCUGAUCCAAGCGUGAGUCCUGUGCUUACGGUAGUAUAGGCCUCUACUACCAUUCACACCUACUCAUACUCGUCCCAAGUAUUGUCCCGCAGUUUUCCAAGUCACCAUACAAGAAAAUCACAUAAAAACUUAACACAUGAAAUAUAAAAACGAAGGUUUUAUAUUAUUCCUUGAGACGAGUACAUGGGUGUUCAAGUUCACCCUAUAUUAUGCCUCUAAUAGGUUGCACCAUAUGACACUAUCUACAUGGCUUCUUCAUAACUUGAUCUCCAUAUAUCCAUCCUCACUCCUGAUUCCUUGCAUCGUCAACUGCUUUGUCUAGGAUCAUAUGGAAUGCUCUUGCCUUUGGUUUUGGUGGCACAUUUGGCUUUGUUGCCGCUUCUCUCUUUGGGUAAUCUUGCUUGAAGUGCCCUUCCUCAUUAAAUUCGUAACACACUCUUUUGUUGAAUUUACACUCGUUGGCAUAAUGGUUCAUGCCUCCCACACCUGAAACAAGUCACCUCCUCACCGCAUUUUCCAGAGUGUUUCUUUUUUCACUUCUCGCACCAUCUUUCUUCACUCCCUCAUCCUCUAAACUUCCUUGUAUUGGACUUGCUUCUCUCAUCGGGCUUCGCAGACCCCUCAAACUUCCUCUUUUCGCCAACCUCGGUCUUGUUGGCGGCUCUUCCCUUGAUCAUCUCCUCAACCGACUUGGCAGCCCAGAUAGCUGCCUCCAAAUUAGGUGCCUGACGUACUGGCACUGCAUACUCCCAUGGAAGUACCUUAGCGUACUUGUCGAUUUUUGUCUGCUCAUCUAGGACAAGACGCAAGGUAAACUCCAUUUUCUCGGUGAAGUUGUUGGUGUAUUCAUCAAUCGACAUGCUUUCCUUCUUCAAGGUCAGGAAUUGGUUCUCUAGCUCAAGCAUGUUUUGAGCUGAGCAGUGCCUGCGUUUUAACUGUACCAAAAAAUUUGCCCAUGUUAGUUGCAGGGGCUCAUUGGGGCUUAGAGUCUUCCUCAGGGUGUUCCACCAGCAAACAACGCCUCCUCUGAAUUGACGUACUGCAAACGUGGUUUGUAGCUUGCCUUUGCAACCACAUGUCAUGAAGGCUAAUUCCAUUUCUGAGAUCCAAUCCAUGACUCCGAUCGGAUCUUCCUUCCAUGUGAAAGUCGAUGGCUUGCAAGUUAUAAAAUCUUUGUACUUGCAUCCAUUCCUCUUGACUUCAUCUUGAUUGUUCCUCCUAAUCACCGGUGGAUCAGCUUGACCAACGGUCCUGCUGUCGUUCCCUUCCUCAGACUGCCCGUCAUUCAGCUCAGGUUGUUCAAUAGGCAUCGUAAGUUCCUCUCGGGUUUGUUGAAGUAAACGCCUUGUUUCCUCCAAUUGACGAUCCAACAUCAUCUGGAUCAACGCUUGAACUCUGGCCAUCGUGAUUGGCUCAGGAGUGGCUAUUACAACAGGGAUUUGCUCAAUCACUGAGGGUUGAUCUCGGUUCCCAUUUGCAUUCACGUUUCCGUUACGGGUCCUUGCCAUCCUAAUCUAUACACCGAAUAAUGUGAAUCUAGAUCUUUAUUUAGGAUUGACGUUUAAAUCAUUCUUAUCACUCUGAAACAUUUAUAUGCUAGUUCUAAUAUCUUAGUUAAACGCUUAGAAUCCUAAACACAUAAGGUUUCCAGAUCCGGUCAGCAAUAGACAAUAGAUCUAAACAAAUAACAGCAUAUCGGGCACAAACAUUUAGCACAUAAAAGCAUUUUAGGCACAAUCCCUAAAAUAAUCUAGUGCUCACACCUCACAAUCAUCGCUUAGCAUUCUAAGUUUAAUUCUAGAAAUAAAUCCAUAUUCCUAGUUCGCUUAAACUAAUGCUCUGAUACCAACUGUGACAUCCCCAAUUUCACGGCCAGAAAAGACCGAUUUUGUUUAUGCUUUAUAAAAAUCAGAGUACUUCAUUUUAUAAAAAUGUUGCGGAAUUUGUUCCCAGAAAAACAUGGUAAAUACGUUAUUAAAACAUUUUCGAAGAAACGUAUUUAUUUCAUUUUAAAACGUUUGGGAUGUCAUCGUUAAUACAGAAACAUAAGCAUAAACAGAACUUACAAUUAUUUACACUAGUGAUCUACAUCUCUUUAAAUCUCUCAGUGUAAUGUCACUUCAUAUCAACACCUGUGAUAUAAAUAAACUGAGUGGGUCAGGUUGGGAAACCUGGUGAGUACAUAGGGUUUUCAACCCACAAUAAUAUAACUAUUAUGUUUAAUCAUCAAACAGUUAACCCAAUUAUCCAUCCUCAUUAUCUUCUUUAAUCAUAAGG
rnacentral:lncRNA from 1 species